rnacentral:rRNA from 1 species
GAUGAACGCUGGCGGCGUGCCUAAUACAUGCAAGUCGAGCGAACAGACGAGGAGCUUGCUCCUCUGACGUUAGCGGCGGACGGGUGAGUAACACGUGGAUAACCUACCUAUAAGACUGGGAUAACUUCGGGAAACCGGAGCUAAUACCGGAUAAUAUAUUGAACCGCAUGGUUCAAUAGUGAAAGACGGUUUUGCUGUCACUUAUAGAUGGAUCCGCGCCGCAUUAGCUAGUUGGUAAGGUAACGGCUUACCAAGGCAACGAUGCGUAGCCGACCUGAAAGGGGGUACGGCCACCAAGGAAAGGAGCAACGGACCCAAGUCCUGAGGGGGGCAGCGGUAGGGAAUCUGCCGCAAUGGGCGAAAGCCAGACGAGGCAACCCCGGGUGAGGGAUGGAGGUCUUCGGAUGGAAAAACGCUGUUAUUCGGGAAAAAAAAAUGGGUAAGUAACAAGCCAGCUCUUAGCGGUACCCAACCGAAAAGCACGGGCUACCCGCGC